rnacentral:rRNA from 1 species
UACGUAGGGAGCAAGCGUUGUCCGGAAUCAUUGGGCGUAAAGCGCGCGUAGGUGGCCAUGUAAGUCCGCUGUGAAAGUCGGGGGCUCAACCCUCGGAUGCCGGUGGAUACUGUCGGGCUAGAGUACGGAAGAGGCGAGUGGAAUUCCUGGUGUAGCGGUGAAAUGCGCAGAUAUCAGGAGGAACACCAAUUGCGAAGGCAGCUCGCUGGGACGUUACUGACGCUGAGACGCGAAAGCGUGGGGAGCAAACAGG